rnacentral:ncRNA from 2 species
GUCGGAGACGGCGAUGGAUCCCGCCUGGGCGUGCCGGCUUCACCCCGAACUGCCAGCUCCGGCUGAUGGUUCCUGACUCGUC